UACGUAGGGGGCAAGCGUUGUCCGGAAUCAUUGGGCGUAAAGAGCGUGUAGGCGGUCCGAUAAGUCCGCUCUGAAAGCCCGGGGCUCAACCCCGGGAGGCGGGCGGAUACUGUCGGGCUAGAGUCCGGAAGAGGCAAGUGGAAUUCCUGGUGUAGCGGUGAAAUGCGCAGAUAUCAGGAGGAACACCGAUGGCGAAGGCAGGUCUCUGGGCUGAUACUGACGCUCAUGCACGAAAGCGUGGGGAGCAAACAGG
rnacentral:rRNA from 1 species